AAAGAGAAGGAAGCAUCACCAUUCACAUUGGCGACAGCCACUAAUAAUAACAUUAGUGUGUAUGAUCCCCAUUACCGAGCGUCUUCGUUUUCACUGAGGAUCUUGCUUACAAAGAAAGAGAGAAAUAAUGAAGCACAAGACAGAGCUGAGCGUCCUAAAUCACCCAUCGGAAGACACCUUAAGAGAGCAGAGGCUCGAAGACACCCCAAACCGACACCUUAAGAGAGCAGAGGCUCGAAUACACCCCAAACCGACUGAAAUCAGCCAUUGGCGACACCUAACCCAGAACAACACACAAACAGUGACUGAAUCGUCGAGGAUCUUGGAUCUGGCAAAAAUAGAUAAAUAAGGAAAACAACAUCUUGAGGCUUUUGGCAUUGCCACAAAUCCACCAAUUGGGAGUUGCAGCAAAACUCUCACCAAAAGUGGAACACCGACAUCAAAACACCACACUGGUCCCUCCUUAACAUAGGUCCGCUCGAGAGAAGAGAAAAAAGCCACGAACGCUCAGAUAAAUCCCCUGAAAAGGAUUAUUAAACCGAGAGGAUGGAAAAAAAAGGAGAACAAGGAGAAGGACGAUCAACCAUCGAUGACAGGUGUUUGACCGUCUAAAACGAGAAACUGAAAGAAAGCGUUGGAGCGACGCUUAGGGUUUCUUGUCAAAUUUUCAGUUCACAAACCUAAAAUGUCAAUUACCAAUCUAAUGGAGUUGAAAAUUAUUAGUGUAAAUUUAAAUAUAAAUUGUUUAUAAAUUAAAUUUAAAUUAUCAAUUAAAUAUACUAAGCUAAAA
rnacentral:lncRNA from 1 species